rnacentral:rRNA from 1 species
UCGGGAAUUUUGGACAAUGGGGGGAACCCUGAUCCAGCAAUGCCGCGUGAGUGAUGAAGGCCUUAGGGUUGUAAAGCUCUUUUACCAGGGAUGAUAAUGACAGUACCUGGAGAAUAAGCUCCGGCUAACUCCGUGCCAGCAGCCGCGGUAAUACGGAGGGAGCUAGCGUUGUUCGGAAUUACUGGGCGUAAAGCGUACGUAGGCGGUGACUCAAGUCAGAGGUGAAAGCCUGGAGCUCAACUCCAGAACUGCCUUUGAAACUAGGUCGCUAGAAUCACGGAGAGGUGAGUGGAAUUCCGAGUGUAGAGGUGAAAUUCGUAGAUAUUCGGAAGAACACCAGUGGCGAAGGCGGCUCACUGGACGUGUAUUGACGCUGAGGUACGAAAGCGUGGGGAGCAAACAGGAUUAGAUACCCCAGUAGUCCCUGAGCGGGCUGGCAAGGCGCAU